UACACACUGUAUCUCAGACUCCAACAAGUGUCAUGUUGUUAAAAUGUUGUGUUCAUAGAACUAAACAAUCACAUAGUAAAAAGAAAUUUAAAGGAAGGGGUAGUGAAGAAGAUUUAAAACUAUUAUUUUAGGAGUCUGUUUUCCCUAAGCAGAGAUGCAGGAAAUAGUGAGAACUGUAAUAAAGGGAUUAAAUAUCCCUGGAAGAAGUUUUUUGUAUAAACAAUUGAAUCAUUCCUAUUUGGUUUUAUACAGAUUUUACAAGUCCCAAAAUAACCCUUUCAAGCAUUUCACUUCAUAACCAAUUAAUUCUCUGCAGUGGGGAACAACAAACUUGGAACAAUUUUCUGAAAUGAAGAGACAGCUGAUGGCUUGGUUUCCCUACACUGCUCAUCUUCAGGAUUCACUGACAAACUUUUUCACUGAUGUCCCCAUGCAGCAGUCUCAGCAAGGCCAACCUCCUGCAUUUACCUUGAAAAAAUGGAAAAUAUCCUACUGCCAGGCAAAGGGAGACCAAUACCUCUAUGGUAAAACAGCAUACCAGCAAUUGGUCCAGUCCUAUAACACAUACCUGCCAUAAACUCAAGAUGCUGGCAGGGUAGAUUCAAGGAUACAGAUUAGGAACUUUUGCCUAAAUGCACUUCUUCUGGAUGUUACUCCAACAGUAGUUAAACCCAGAAACCUCUUUAGCUAUGCACAAUUAGCACAAAAUGUGGUAUUUCCAGUAACAGUAUGAAGAAUACUGACAUCAGUGAAUGAUCCUGCUAAGUCACCUGUAUGGAUGCUGAGGGCCCUGCUUUGGUCACUUAAUUUAAGCAUAGGCACUGCUUCUUUGAUUGUACAAGAAGAUUUGUCAGAUGAAAAUCUGCAGGAGUCAACAGAUGUGUGUGUUGAUUUGGCACAGCCUGAUUUUUGCUAGUGGGGGGCCCACAAGGGUGGCUUCUGUGAGAAGCUGCUAUGAGGUCCCACAAUGUCUGACAGAGCCAAUCCCUGAUGGCUCUGAAGACAGACACAGUGCUGCCCCAAUUAGAGAGGUUUGUAAUAGCUCUGUGGUGACACAUUUAAGAAGAAAAUCAAAACAAUGCACGCACAGUUUCUUCCCCAGGGGUGGGAAGGCACUGUGGCCACCACCAUGGCCAACGCCAUGCCAGCGUGGCCCAUGGUGAUAUGCUGCCAUGGCAGCUGCCAUCUCAGUGUGACCGGCGGUGAGCCUUGUCUGCCUGGCCACCCCUACCCAGCUGUGCCACAGGCAGAAGGACAGGGGUGGCGGCAGCCUCUCCUUCCUGGUGCCCCACAUGAAGAGAGGUGCUAAAUAGCCCCAGCACCGCUGCUGCCUGCUCAGCAGCAGUGGGGCUACAUGGCUAGUGGCAGAAAUAUGGCAAGCAAUUCCCUGAUGUGGAAUCUAGAAGAAAUCAACUUCUAGGGAUCUUGCAAGAAUUUUUGAAUUAGUGGAACUGAGUUAAGAAAAUUAGGAAAUUAAGAUUUUAACUAGAAUAGGAGCAACUUAAAAAAUUCAAGGUAAAAGAAACAUACGGAAAUUUAAGGUAGGAGCAAUAUAAGUAGUUAAUGAUUACUAGGUGUAGUUAGUUAAAAGCAAGGUUACAUACCUUUUGUUUGUAGAAAAAAUGUAAAGUAGUCAACAAUUGCCAAAAUUAAAUUAAUAGUCCAAGGAUAUAUAUAAUUUACUUGUCUUUGUUGUAAGUUGUGUUUGUAGAAGACAUAAAGAAUAGACUACUGUGAAUAAAAAGACCAUGUCUACUCCUACAAGCAAGGGAUCUGAACUGUGUCCAAGAGAACCAGGAGGGCUGCCAACAGGACACAGCUGAAAAGAUUAAGCCCAAGGAAAAGAAAGAUUUCGUUAAAAAUACCUCAGAUCCAUUUUAAAAGAAGAACUGAGCAUGCCCAAAGGGGUCUGGAGCUCAUUACCAUGUGAGACGAGGAGCAGGUGGAGUCAGGCAAUGAAUAUGUACAGACAUAUUGUGUAAUCAUAUGUAUAUUUAAUACUUUGGGGAAUAAAUAGAAAAUAAGGGACAGUGAGGGGCGUGCACAUUCUUGGAAGAUGACUCCAGCGUGUUGCCUGGCCAUAAUAAAGCAUACUACUUUAUAACUUUAAGUAGUUAGAAUGUCCUUUGUCCAUGAUUUUAUUGUUUCAGAACUUGUUGGCGAUGCUACUAGCAUAUUUGUUGGCAACCUAAAGCAGCAGCUUUUCUUCUAGUCAGAGAAGAGGACAUGUAAGAAGUGAGGACACGUAAGAGAAAACAACAUGGAGGCACCAAGGUAGCCUCUCAAGGCAUCAGAGAUUCCUCUGCAAGUAUAGUGACAACUAUUGUGAAACAAACUGUCCCCUUAUAAUGGAUGAAGUCAAUGGGGGAUGCAGAGAUCUACUUGCAGCCCAUGGGAAAAGUGCUCAUGCCAGAGUGCAUGGAUGCUAGAAAAAGCUGUGGUCUACUGGGGAUCCUGAAUAGACAGGGCCCCUGCUUCCAGAGAUAGAGAUAGCCCUUGCUUUCAAACUAGAGCAGUCUAUCCUUGAAAGAUUACACCCCAUGGAUAAGUGACCCACACAACAGUUUUGGGACAACUGCUUGACCAUGGGAGUGACCCCACAGCAUAGCAGAAAAAAGACUUGUCCCUGAGCAAAUGGAAAAAGAUCUUGAGUGAUGAACUGAUGAAAACCCCCAUGCCUUGUCUCCCUGUGCUGUUGGUGGGAAGGAGGGAGGGGCUGGGGGUAAAAAAGAUGUUUUAAAGGCUUAUUCUACUUCUCAUUAUCCUCCUCUGACUCUGUUAAUAAUAAAUUUACUUUAUACCUUUGAAUUUGAACCUGUUUUGCCCUUAGAGUGUUUUUCUCCCAGUCCUUAACUCAUGUUUUUCAGUAAUAUUUUCCCCCUCUCCUCUGCCCAACUGUAGCAGGAAAAACAAUUUUUGCCUGGCAUUUGGCUAGUGUCAAUCCACAGCAAUAUGCCAGCCCUCAUAAUCGGGAAAAAGAACCCAUUUAAAUGACAUGACUAAAUGAGGCCUGUAAGACCCAUCUCUAUAAUAUGCAGGUGAGCACAAUGAAGUUAAGGUAACAAGCCUUGCACAGAUGCAGCUGGAGCAGGGUAUGGCCAUUGGAGUCAGCUGAAAGUUGCAGUCAGUCAGAUGGGAGAUCCUCCAGACAGGGUAAUCCCACUCUCAAGGAAAAAAAAAAAAAAAAGAAAACUUUGAAGUUACCAGGUGCAGCAUUAAGCAGAUGCCAGUCCUCCUCAGCUGAAGUAAUUGAACAGAACUUCAGGAAUGAAAAACAGCUUACCCAGGUACUACUUCUGAAAAAUUUAGCUAGAAGGCUGUGAUGGGAACAAGAUAAAUGACAAUUCUGUUGCCUUCUUAGGAAUUCUUUUGGAAAACAAGCCAGUGUAAAAAAAUCAACAAAUUAAUCACCACUGAACUAUUUUCCUCAUAACCCACACAGUUCAAGGAGGGAAAGUGUUUCUCUGCAGCCAGACUGUGAGAAACUAUCCUGCAAAUAAGAAUUCUCUCUCUGUUGCAAUGGGUCUUCACAUUGACUCUGUCCUGUUAAUUAGCCAGAUUCAAUCCCAGUAUUUGCUUGAAUCAAAGCAGCAAAGACGUAUGAACAUCAACUAUCAGGUAAGUCCAUGAAGCACAAACGCUUUCAUGGUCAGUGGUACUCCCUGUACCAGUUACCUUCUUGUUUUGGAAAAAAAAAUUAGGAACCUUUGGAGGAAAAAAAUAAAAAACCACCACUGGGUCAUUUGACAGAACAUAUUUCUCAAUUACAGCAAGCUCUAGUGUCAUCACAACCAAAGAAAAUUGGCAGAGGCUUACUUAGUCCUCUAAGUAUGAAGUUUCCCAUUCUGUGAAUUCUGAGAUCUGGGCAUCACUGUACCCACUUUUGUGAAUGGUUUUGAAAUGGUGGAGCAGGAGAAAUGAGAACACGCUAAAAAUGGGAGCCAACAUGCUUACAAGGACUAUAUGCUGCAUAUUGGUAUCUGCAGAAGAUGCAUGGAAGCAAACUAAAUGGGUACACAGGAACAUGUGCCAAGCCAAGCACAAAAAUAACAGAAAAAAAGAUAAAAAUCCAAUAUUGCAUUCUGUGUGUGUUUUUAUUGAUAGAGGCCCCAAAGACAGGAAUAAGAUGUUCCACUUUGUAAACAUUAUUUUAAUGUUUUAAUCUUUGAAGGAUACUGGAGUGGUCCAAAAAGCUUGGGGAGGGCUUUCACCUACCUUAUUUUACCUCCAUCUUCUCACAUACACACUCAGUCUCAGGCUGCUUUGCAGACAGCUGCUUAUGUGCCAUGUUUGAGUAGAUAUGCAACAGAACAGUACGGUUCCAAACAAAGAAGGAAAGUGCAUGAAGAUAAAAAAUGGGGUUGCAGAGAAUGAGCAUGAAAUACUCUUUACAGGCUUGCCUUAUCUCCUGGGCUGCACUUUCUCUCAGAAACUGGAGACCAGCUUUCUAUUCUUACAGCUCAGGGUGCUGAACUUGCCGGAGGAGUAUGGCAUCAGGCUUCUGCUCUAAGCCAUCAGCACUCUCAGGCUGCUGUUUUCCAGAACACCAUUGCUGCCUCACCUCCUUUCCUGAGUGCUUUAUGUGACAGCGAUUUCAGCAGGCUGAAUGUGCUGCAGAGCUAGAAGGGCAGCUGUUCAUCUGCUGCAUUCCAGUGCAAGAGCUCCAGCAGGAACGUUCACACCUCCAGCCAACGCAAUUGCCAUCAAUGCUGCCAGCAGGAUCUCUCCUGAGGAUACAGGGACUGUGUGGUCUCGGGGUGGAGGACCAAGCACAGAACUGGGUGCAGCAGAAGUGAAUGCACCCCAUGCUGACAGGCUGAUGGUGACCCCAAAAGCCAGGAUGACUUUUGGCUACAACUCCUGAAGGCUCUUGAAUUGCCAGAGAAAGAGAAGAUGCCUGCUGCUCCAAAGAGGAAAGGUCCCUUGUAUUCCCAGUGUCCCUGGCUCCUGCCUUUUGCUGACCACUUCUCCUCCAUGCUGACCAUGGGAUGACAAGGGAGGGGAAGCACUAGAAGGGCAAGGAGUCCUGUAAUGGCUACAUCAUGCCACAACCCUUGUUGUUUCCUUAUGUUUCAUGAAAAACUAACUGUAGCCAACUUUGCGAACUUUAUCUGAAGAACUCAGAUAAGCUCUAAAAGCACAAGUGUUUCCUUUGUUCUGACUAAGUCUCUAUGAAGUUUCAUUACUAUCUAGGCCUUUUUAUUGAUAUUUUAUUAAUUUGUAUACUACAAUAAGCAGCAGUUGCAAGUGACUCUAAAACAGCUGGGGUAUAGCACAAGUCAGUUAUUAACUGGAAAAACAUGAAUACUGUGAAUGACAAGUGUUUGAUAGACAGAUUUUUCUGAUAAUGCAAAAGGCAAAGAAGGCCUAGGACUGGAACUGCCAAAGAAUGCUCCUUCUGCAUGUUACUCUGGCAACUCCUGGAAGAAAAGUCUUACUGAUUGUCCAGACCUGACUCUCAAGGUUUCCUCCUGCUUGACUUUUAGUCCAAGGCUUGUGUUUUGGGCUGAACAAUUAUGUAGGUUUGCAAAAGCCAAAAGGUUCUCUUUAGCAUUAUGUACAAUCCCUAUCUGUGGAGGUACCCUGGGAGCUCUUCACAGACACAAACUCUAAGAGGGCUCUGCAUAUGCAAACAGGUGAGUGAGCCCUCUGAUAGCAAUAGCUAAUGGUAUUAUCAGGUCUUGUACUGAUAUUAAAAGCCAUGUGGAUUUUGGUCCUUUACCACAAGGUGCUGCUCCCUUUUAGAGGCAUUUGGUUCUGGUAAAGUCCGGUUCCAUUUUUUUCAUGCUGCUAUGUAGCAAAUUAAGCCUUGGUGAGAAGUAUGGGCAAAUAAACUCUCAAACAUCUUGUUUUCAAAAUCUUAAUGAUUUUUAAGAUUGCUUUUUCUUUUUUUCCCCCCUUCAUUUGACUCACUGUUUCAGCAGAAUUGAAGAGCUGCUGGCGCAGCUUAGAGCAGCAGUUGUUGGCACAUUACCUACCACCCAUGCCUGCAUACUUGGGGCACAGGACCGUGUACAGACUUACACAUGUGACUGCUGGCCCGUCUUAUCCCUCUUCCCUCCCCCGCAAUGUCCUAGCUUCGGCCUUAGGACAAUAAAGGGCAUGCAGGCUGCUUUUUUGCUCUUCGAAAC